rnacentral:ncRNA from 1 species
UACAAUAAUAAUAAAAGCAUUAAGUGGAUGCCUUGGCAUUAAUUUUAUUUUUAGGACGUAAAAAAUGCGAAAAGCUAUAUUAAAUAAUAAUAUAUUUUGAAAUAUAGAUUUCCUAGAGAAAACUUUUUCUUUGUGAAAAUUUUAAAAGCAGUGAAUUGAAAUAUCUAAGUAACUGUUAAAAAAAUCAAACGAGAUUCCGUGAGUAAUGACGAGUGAAAAUGGAAAAUAGGUUUAUAAAAAUAAAUAAAAUUUAUUCGAAUAAUUUUAAAAAAUUAACGUAAAAAGGUUAAAGUCCUGUAGAAUAAUUUAUAUUUUUAUAAUAGUAAAAAGAGGUAUGUGUAUCUUUUUUGAAUAUUGGGGACCCCCUCAAAACCUAGUAAAAAUUAAUGAUCGAUAGUGUACAAGUACUGUAAAGGAAAAGGUGAAAAAAGAACUUUUGAGUUUGAAAUAAUUCUGAAAACUUAAUGUUAACAAUCAAUUGGAACUUUUUAUUAAAGUGACAGUGUACCUUUUGCAUAAUGGGCCAGCAAGUUUAUUUUUAUAGCAAGCUUAAUUUUUUAAAGUAGGCGCAGAUAAAUCAAGUUUUAAAAAGCAAUAUAGUUAUAAAAAUAAGACCCGAAACCGAGUGAUCUAACCAUGAACAGAUUGAAAAAUAGGUAAAACUAUUUGGAGGAUCGAACUCACAUGUGUGGCAAAACAUGGAGAUGAUUUGUGGUUAGGAGUGAAAGGCUAAUCAAACUCGGAGAUAGCUGGUUUUCCGCGAAAUCUAUUGAAGUAGAGCAUUUAAAAUCUUUUUUUGGGGUAGAGCACUCAUUGAGCUAGGGGGCGUAAAAACUUACUGAACUCUUAGAAACUCCAAAUACAAAAAAAAGUUAUUUAAAUAGACAGACAUUAGGCGCUAAGGUCUAUUGUCAAGAGGGAAACAGCCCAGAUUGAUCGCUAAGGUCUCUAAAUAAUAUUCUAAGUGAAAAAGGAAGUGAAAAAAUAAUUACAACCAGUAGGUAGGCUUGGAAGCAGCCAUCCUUUAAAGAAAGCGUAAUAGCUCAUUGGUCUAGUUUUUUUGCGCCUAAAAUGUAUCGAGACUUAAGAAAUUUACCGAAGCGGCAAGUUUUAUUUAUAAUAAAACGGUAGCGGAACAUUCUGUAUGUUGAUAAAGAUAUGUUGUAAAAUAUAUUGAAGAUAUCAGAAAAGAAAAUGCUGGCAUUAGUAACAAAAAAUAAUGAAUAAGAAUCAUUAUCACCGUAAAUCCAAGGGUUUCUAUGUUAAAAUGUAUUUCAUAGAGUGAAACGGCCCCUAAGAAAGAUUUGACGAAAGCAAAUUUUGAUGGGAUAAUUUUUAAAUUAAAUUUUUUAAAAAAAGUGACAAAAAGUUUUACUUUUUCAGGAAAUAGCUUUUUUUAAAAAAAACCGUACCCUAAACCGACACAGGUGGAUAGGUCGAGUAGACUAAGGUGGAUGAGAGAAUUAUAUUGAAGGAACUCGGCAAAAUGACUCUGUAACUUCGGGAUAAAGAGUACCUAAAUAUUAUAUUUAGGUGUCACAAAAUAGGGGGUUGCGACUGUUUAAUAAAAACUUAGGACUCUGCUAAAUGGUAACAUGAUGUAUAGGGUCUGACACCUGCCCGGUGCUGGAAGAUUAAUAGGAGAUGUUUGCGCAUUGAAUGGAAGUCCCAGUAAACGGCGGCCGUAACUCUGACGGUCCUAAGGUAGCGAAAUUCCUUGUCGGGUAAGUUCCGACCUGCAUGAAUGGUGUAACGACAUCCCCGCUGUCUCCAAUAUAAACUCAGUGAAUUUGAAUUAUCCGUGAAGAUGCGGAUUCUCUAUAGUUAGACGGAAAGACCCCGUGAACCUUUACUACAUCUUUAUAUUGUUAUUUUAUCUAAUAUGUGUAGCAUAAGUGGGAAUCAAUAAGACCUUCACGCUAGUGAAUUGUUUAGAUAACAUUGAAAUACCACUCUUAUUAAAAUAAAUAACUAAUAUUUUUAUAAAUAGACAGUGUAUGGUUGGUAGUUUGACUGGGGCGGUCACCUCCUAAAGAGUAACGGAGGU